CCGUUGCCGGCGACCGGCGCACGGGUGAGUAACACGUAUGCAACCUGCCCGUGGCAGGGGGAGUAAGCGGGGGAAACCCCGGUCUAAUACCGCGUAACGCGGCCUAGGGACAUCCCAAGGCCGCCAAAGGGAGCAAUCCCGGCCACGGAUGGGCAUGCGGCGCAUUAGCUAGUCGGCGGGGUAACGGCCCACCGAGGCGACGAUGCGUAGGGGUUCUGAGAGGAAGGCCCCCCACACUGGUACUGAGACACGGACCAGACUCCUACGGGAGGCAGCAG
rnacentral:rRNA from 1 species